rnacentral:rRNA from 1 species
AUUGAACGCUGGCGGCAGGCCUAACACAUGCAAGUCGAGCGGUAGAGAGAAGCUUGCUUCUCUUGAGAGCGGCGGACGGGUGAGUAAUGCCUAGGAAUCUGCCUGGUAGUGGGGGAUAACGUUCGGAAACGGACGCUAAUACCGCAUACGUCCUACGGGAGAAAGCAGGGGACCUUCGGGCCUUGCGCUAUCAGAUGAGCCUAGGUCGGAUUAGCUAGUUGGUGGGGUAAUGGCUCACCAAGGCGACGAUCCGUAACUGGUCUGAGAGGACGAUCAGUCACACUGGAACUGAGACACGGUCCAGACUCCUACGGGAGGCAGCAGUGGGGAAUAUUGGACAAUGGGCGAAAGCCUGAUCCAGCCAUGCCGCGUGUGUGAAGAAGGUCUUCGGAUUGUAAAGCACUUUAAGUUGGGAGGAAGGGCAGUAAAUUAAUACUUUGCUGUUUUGACGUUACCGACAGAAUAAGCACCGGCUAACUCUGUG